rnacentral:rRNA from 1 species
UGCGUAGGCGGGCUAAUAAGUCAGUGGUGAAAUCUUCCGGCUCAACCGGGAAACUGCCAUUGAUACUGUUAGUCUUGAGUUCGGCUGAGGUAGGCGGAAUGUGUAAUGUAGCGGUGAAAUGCUUAGAUAUUACACAGAACACCAAUUGCGUAGGCAGCUUACUAGACCGACACUGACGCUGAGGCACGAAAGCGUGGGGAGCGAACAGGAUUAGAUACCCUGGUAGUCC